GACAGAGGUGGCGAGCGUUGUUCGGAAUUACUGGGCUUAAAGGGCGAGUAGGCGGUGGGACAAGUCUGAUGUGGAAUCUUAGGGCUUAACCCUAAAACUGCAUUAGAAACUGUUUUACUUGAGUCAGUGAGGGGAGGGCGGAAUUCCCGGUGUAGCGGUGAAAUGCGUAGAUAUCGGGAGGAAGGCCGGUGGCGAAGGCGGCCCUCUGGCACUGUACUGACGCUGAGGCGCGAAAGCGUGGGGAGCAAACAGG
rnacentral:rRNA from 1 species